CUACGGGGUGCAGCAGUGGGGAAUAUUGCACAAUGGAGGGAACUCUGAUGCAGCGAUGCCGCGUGAGGGAAGAAGGUUUUCGGAUUGUAAACCUCUGUCUUCAGGGACGAUAAUGACGGUACCUGAGGAGGAAGCUCCGGCUAACUACGUGCCAGCAGCCGCGGUAAUACGUAGGGAGCGAGCGUUGUCCGGAAUUACUGGGUGUAAAGGGAGCGUAGGCGGGACUGCAAGUCAGAUGUGAAAACUAUGGGCUUAACCCAUAGACUGCAUUUGAAACUGUGGUUCUUGAGUGAAGUAGAGGUUGGCGGAAUUCCUAGUGUAGCGGUGAAAUGCGUAGAUAUUAGGAGGAACAUCAGUGGCGAAGGCGGCCAACUGGGCUUUUACUGACGCUGAGGCUCGAAAGCGUGGGGAGCAAACAGGAUUAGAUACCCCCGUAGUC
rnacentral:rRNA from 1 species